AAGGAACCUAAUCUCGCCAUGACUGCAGGAUGUAAAAGUUACGUUCUGCUCUCAAGGCCUAUGGAGUUCCCUGGGCAUUCCCUAUUUCCUCUCAUCCUAUGUGGGAUUGGAUCGUACCACUCUCUGGUGGAAUAUCAAAAUCAACUGCGGGCGGCAGAUCCUUUUCCUAUUUAGCGCCCAAACUCUGGAACAAUCUACCUAACAUUGUUCGGGAGGCAGACACACUCUGUCAGUUUAAAUCUAGAUUAAAAACCCAUCUCUUUAACCUGGCGUACACAUAACACACUAACACUUUUCUAUAAUUCAAAUCCGUUAAAAGAUUUUUAGGCUGCAUUAAUUAGGUCAACCGGAACCAGGAACACUUCCCAUAACACCCAAUAUACUUGUUACAUCGUAAGAAGAAUGGCAUCUACGCUAAUAUUAGUCUGUUUCUUUCUAAUUCGUAGGUCACCGUAGCCACUAGAUCCAGUCCGUAUCCAGAUCAGAUGUCACUGCAGUCUCCCGGAUUCAGUCCGUAUCCAGAUAAGAUGGUGGAUCAGCACCUAGAGAUGACCUCUACAGCCCUGAACGUCAGCGGAGACCAGGACACCUAGAUGAGACCCAAAGACAGAUCCCCAGUGAAGACCUCGUCUCCUAGACGGCAAUCGGGACAGGACCACGGGAACCAGAUGAGUAAUCUGCACAAUCUGACUCUGCUGCAGCAUGGAACAACCUGCUGGCCAGAGGAGAACAACACAAUAUCUCAACACACUAUUUGCCUGUUUAAUACUGUAAAGCUGCUUUGACACAACCUGCAUUUUAAAAAGCGCUAUAUAAAAUAAUGGUGACUUGACUUUGAUCUACAGGAAUGUAAAGAAAGUGACGUGACAUUUGGCCAAGUAUGGUUACCCAUACUCGGAAUUUGUCCCAUCCAAAGUGCACACACACAGCAGUGAACACACACCCGGAGCAGUGGGCAGUGGGCAGUGAGCCUUGCUCAAGAGCACCUCAGUCGUGGUAUUGAGGGUGGAGAGAGAGUUUCACUCUCCACCUUCAGUUCCUGCCUGACCUGAGACUCGAACUCGCAACCUUUAGGUUAUGAGUCCGACUCUGUAACCAUUAGGCCAUGACUUCCCCAUUAAGUCGUGACCAUAUUAGAUCCGGGAGACUGCAGUGACCAUCCGAUCUGGAUACAGACUGGAUCUGGUGGCUACGGUGACCUCGGAAAUAAGAAAUAAACAGACUAAUAUUAGUAUUAUAAGUCGUGACCAUAUAUAUAAUACUUAUUAAGUAUUAUAAGUUUAAUGAUUUGUGAUGGAUUAUCAACUAAUUAUGCACAUUCCUUGUAGGUGCGUUCAGAGAGUAUAGUGUUUGUAUUAAUCUCAAACUGUAUACAGCACAAAGUCUGGCAGUUUGGGCAAAUUCUGUUAACACUUGUUUGAAAUAUUUUUUUUCUUUUCUUGUGAAAGGUUCAUUCCGAGAAUCGACCCUGGUGGCAUACCAUUCAGAGUCACAGAUCAGAUGGAAUUUUGGAAAGAGGGUGCAAAGAAAAAGCAUCAGCCUGAAUCCCCUCAUGGUGUUUCUCAUCAGAGAGGUUGUCAACUUUGCCAAAAUUACUGACAUUUAACACAACAACACAAACAAAUUUUUACUGUAUUUUAUUUCUGUGAAGUCUGUUUUGCCAUGCUACAGAUACAAAGUCCCCAGGGGACUGUGGUGAUGCCCUUUUUCAGCUAGCACAUGCUAGAGAUGAAGAUUUGUCAUUUGUAUUUUUAAAAAGAACAUGUUCAACAAUUAAAAAUAAUAUUAUAAAGACAACCCAAAUGCGGGUUGGGGUUGUAAAAUAAUAUGUAUACACUGCAAUUAGAUUGUUUUCAUUUAAAAAAUGAAAAUAAACUGAACAGUACUAAUAUUGACAGUACAGUAAUAAUACUUUAAAUGAGAAUACAGUAAUAAUACAUCCAGCUACACUGUUAGACAUUUCUGUAAUUUCUGCAGUUGUUUACUGUAUAUCACCCAGUAUAAUACUGCAAAUUCCCUUUACAGUAAAUAACUGUAAUACCCUUUGCAUCAUGGAAAUUUUCUGUGACGUCAGACCCCACAUACAGAGACUUACUGUAUUUUUUAAAUUUGCUGUAUACUACCGUAUUUGGUGUAACGGCCGCUUUGGCGCCAUUUUAUUGAGGUUGUUUUAUUUUCCUCAUUUCUUACAUUUGGAUUGACACGAUUUGCCCAACACCGUGUCUACAACGCAGCAACAGCUUGGGACUGAGUACUGGAUGUGUUACAUCGCUUCUAAUGAUUGUAAAAUCCAUUUGUACUUCAUGUCAGAAACAGCGUGAGGGCUUGGAGUGCAUCUGCACGUCAGAAAUAUACUGGGGCAUCACUUCACUGUCCGCAUUCACUGUAGAUAAUAUAUAAUAUUACUAUAUAAUGGGUUCUAUAUUGUUUUUAUCGAGUCGCGCCGCGCCACUCGCAUCCAAGGAAGACACGGAAGCAGCGGGGCAGCGCCACGGGUUUUGCCCGGGGAUGAACCCACGAGAGUGGAAGAGCUCCGGAGAACAUCUAUGCUGUGUGUCGAUGCACCUUACGAGAGAAUAAAACCAGCAAGCAAGAGAAGACAUUUCUGUCACUAACAAAGUGGAUGGUGAGCAAAGAUGGUGGCCACGUUUUGGAGCAGCAUCUGGGUUUUGCAGAUGUUUGUCUUUUUUCCUCAUUAUGUUUCUGUUGCCUAAAGAUUCUUUGUGAGGAUGAAUCCAGAGGACACAACAUAAUGCACUGCAAAACGUCCUAAGACAGGAGAAAUGGUGAAGAUGCACUGUUCCAGCAUUGGAAGACUGUAUUUUUAAGUGUUA